UUAACCUUAAAGGGCCUAUAGGGCGAAGAUCAAAUGUGUAGUAUCUGUUCUUAUCAGCUUAAUAUCUGAUACGGCCUAAUCAAGGGUCUUACGAUAUUAAUCCUAUUUUUGUAAGGCGCUGCUAGGACGGGGCUUGCCUCUCCAGUGCCACGGGUCGUCCUGGCAUUGCACUAAAACAAAGAAAAUUAAAAAAAA